rnacentral:rRNA from 1 species
AGCGGCGGACGGGUGAGUAAUGCUUAGGAAUUUGCCCAGCCGAGGGGGACAACAGUUGGAAACGACUGCUAAUACCGCAUACGCCCUACGGGGGAAAGCAGGGGCUCUUCGGACCUUGCGCGAUUGGAUAAGCCUAAGUGAGAUUAGCUAGUUGGUGAGGUAAUGGCUCACCAAGGCGACGAUCUCUAGCUGGUUUGAGAGGAUGAUCAGCCACACUGGGACUGAGACACGGCCCAGACUCCUACGGGAGGCAGCAGUGGGGAAUAUUGCACAAUGGGCGAAAGCCUGAUGCAGCCAUGCCGCGUGUGUGAAGAAGGCCUUCGGGUUGUAAAGCACUUUCAGCGAGGAGGAAAGGUUGGCGGUUAAUACCCGUCAGCUGUGACGUUACUCGCAGAAGAAGCACCGGCUAACUCCGUGCCAGCAGCCGCGGUAAUACGGAGGGUGCGAGCGUUAAUCGGAAUUACUGGGCGUAAAGCGCAUGCAGGCGGCCAAGUCAGUCAGAUGUGAAAGCCCCGGGCUUAACCUGGGAAUUGCAUUUGAUACUGCUUGG